GAUUCUUAAUUCAUUGCCUCAAAGGAGAGGUCGCCGAGCUUUUCCAUGAGAUUUUGCGGACGGCUUAGGGUUUUACCGAGUCCUUUCCAUUAGAUGAGUACGGCUGUAACCACCCUUCCGUUACCCUGGAAUUAGGGUCUUACAGCAGAGAGGAGGCUCUCAAUGUUAGAGUAAUCCAAAGUCUUCCAUGUAAUGAGUCCGCUUGUUUCGGACAUAACUCAAGCGUAAGAUCCGAUGAGUGAAUUUCUUGUGCACUUUCUCGUACGAGAUAAAGCACGGAAGAGUGGUAAGCAAGGCCACGGGACGCGCUGUAGGAGAGCACCUGCGCUAUCCGUACAUUGCUCGUCCGUUCUGGUACCAACCACGGGUCGUUCGACAACCGCCACAGCAUAUACGCAAUCGGGUGACCCGAUUCGGGUCGGACCCGCAGAUGCGCCGCCUUGACAGUGACUUGCGCUGUAGCAAGGGCGAUAUAACACAGAAGCUGUGGAUGGUCAAACCAACUAAAAGUCGCGGGGCCCGGUAAUUGUGGAUCCCGCAACGCUACCGCGGCUUCGCAAAUACCGUGCCGCCCAUUAUCCCUUCACCGCUUUACGUACUUUCAACCUACCCACUAUAGCAACCCCCCCAGCAAGACGUGCACAACUCCAGCUGUUCUGUUACAUAAACAAUCACCCCACGCGUUCGACCUCCACGGGGCCCCUCAUCCCAGCACCCUCGUGCCUGCACCUGCCGUAGUCCCCAACCCCUUCCCUUCGCCCGUGUUCAUUCCUUAUUCCCCCUGACCACUUCCAUUGCCUAGGUUCAACUUCCUUGCCUAGGUCCAACUCCUGCUGCUUUGAAAACGUGGUGCCAACCACCGUGCAACCCAAGCCGGGUCGCCCACUCUAGCCGUCACAACAUUACAUUCGUUAUCAUCAUGCGCAAAAUGUAAGGGACCUCCGCGUAACGCCAUUGCUAUCCCUACUGCGUUAACACCGCCAUGUCAUGCUUCCUGGCCGGGCACCCCAUACCAAGGGCACACUCUUCACUGCAGCAGCCGUGUCACAAUGCCCACUGCCAGUGUACGGCCUCCCUCCCGCAGCGCCACUCGCCCGAGAGCUCGAUACUCCGAGUACUCCUCCAGCACCAAACCGCGAGCCGCAGUCACCUCCAGCAGCGCUAUCUGGCCCUUAGUCAGGCAGCGGGGACGGGACUGCAAGGGGGUGGGGGGAAGGAGGCCGACGCGGGAAAGCGGACCGGUCAGAGGUAGUGGAAGCGGAGGGGGGAGCCGGGGGUAGAAAGGUUUAAACACCUAAGAACGCGGUAGGGGAAGAGGAGGGCAAUGCUGUGGAAGUGGGAAUAUAAACCAACCUCGAGGAAAGCUAGCAGUGGCGUCUUAAGAACCUCACCUCCCCGUUUUCUCCUUAUUCCCACAAGGGAACUCCGCUACCCCGCAAACCCCGGACUCCCAACACGUAACCCAAGCCAUGCAUGGCACCUGGUUCCCAGCGCCAAGCCAAUCACCUCUCGCGUUUGGCGUUUGGCUCUUAUCACCGAACAAAAACUUCGCGCAAAAACCUAGCUCAUGCCUGGCUCAUUCACCGGAAAGCCCAUCUUGCCGAUCUUCCCGCUCCGUAAAUCCUUGGCCCCUUUUAGGGCCCCCCAUUCCGCCUACCUUGACCACCUCGCCGGUUCGCGGAUC
rnacentral:lncRNA from 1 species